ensembl:lncRNA
UGGAGCAUAAUGUAUAUACAAUAUCUUUAUGCAUAUGCAUUUUGUCAAAUAUUAUGUCAAGAUAUUUGGCAGCAUCUGGACAAUUGAUUGAAGGGAGGUCAUCUUUCCCCAGACCACCUCCUUUCCCCUGUUAGACUUGUACAGGCCCACCCUAAGUGUAAAAUCAUUCACCUGGACUUACAGGCUCCUGUCACCAACACCCAUCCCAGCAUAUGUGGAAGAUAACUUUUUGGAGAUAUUCUGGAAGUCUAGAGAGAUCAUGUCAUUAGUCCAGCACAUCUCCCCAUCUGCCAGAAGUGUGUAAUGAAAGCUGCUUUAUCCUCAUCAGCACGAUUAAAUUCCUGCCUUUCAUCUUAGUAGGGCAUAAUGUAAAUAAAUGUCAUGUGAGUGUGUGUGUGUUGCCAAAUAUCUACCUGGGUAUUUGGCUGCAUCUGGACCACUGAUUGAAGGGAGAUACUCUCUCCCCAGCCCCAUUUCCCUUGUUCUUUUUAGAGCUGCUUUAGGCCCAGGUUAAAUAUGAAAUCACUCCCUAGAAAUUGCAGCUUAGGUCACCAACCACCAAAUUUCGUAGCAUUAUGGAAGAUAACUCUUAGGGAAGCUUGGAAAUCAUUUCAUUGUUCCAGCACCAAGUCUCUCCAUAUGCCUAAAGUGUAUGAGUGAAAGUGUUUUCAUCUCCAUCAACAUGCUUAGGCCCCUUCCUUCGAUUUUUGUAGGAUAUAUUGUAUAUAAAUAUUUUGUACAUUAAAGAUUGCCAAAUACUAUAAAGGAGGUAUUUGGCCAAAGCUGGACUCCUGAGUGAAGGGAGAUGCUGUCUCCCAGCUCCUCUCCCCUCUCCUCUGUCAGAGUUGAUGCGGGCCUAGGUUAGGUAGAGAAUCGCUAACCUGAAGGGGCUCGUGCAACUCACCCAUCUUAAAGCACGCACUUCAUCUUACAAUACAAGCCCAUCUCCAUUUAAAAACUCACAAAGCAUCCCAAUGCCUAUACUCCUCAAAACAAUUUCCGUAAGGGAAGCCUGGCACAUCAAAUCAAAAGAACGGCUGCUUCCCUUCCAGACAGAAAUGUGGCCCCUGGCAGGGCACCAGCAUUAAGGAAACCAGUGUGUUCUGAAUAACUGCCAUGAGAACAUUUCAGUCAAUCCUGAAACCGAUUUAAGCAUCAACAUGCUUUAAGUGUAAGAUAGCCCUCUAAAAGUUCCAAGAGUUUGAGGAUAUUUUCCUUUUUUGUGGUCAUGAUGUACUUAGCCCUCUUCUAGGCACUGUGAAGGAGACAGGAAGUGUAAGACUAUUAUAAUUUGACCUGUGCUUCUGGGUUUUGGGGUAGAGUGCUCUUUUGGAAAGUAGAUACCAUUUUUUAGCUCAAGUAUUGAUUGCAUAUGUAAAAACUAGCAGGGAGCUGUGAACACUGGGUUCUGUGCUGUGUUACCUAUCCCCAGGAGAACUAUUUCUGGAGUUGGGUUUGAAAUCAUGAUUCUGUAGCUUCCUUCUUCUCUUCCACUAAUGAAGCAAUGAUAGCUAUAUUCAUUGUAAUGAACAGAGAACUAAGAAAUAUUUUAGCUUUGCCUUCCAGUAACAGUAACAAUUUCCCCUUAUUGCUCCUAAUUUAAAACAUCCCUGCCACUCACUGUGCCAUCCUCAAUACUCAAGGAUGGAGACACAUGCAAAGGAAAGGUGUGCGAAUUCUUGGGAGCAUCAGGCGUGCCCUCUGGAUGAAAAUCACAUGAUCAGGCCCCUGGUAACAAGCUGGAGAGAGAAAAGGACCCAGAAUUUCAAGGAUGUAGUCACUGUUCUUGCUCCCAACUCUAGGUCAGAUCAAAUUUUGUUUUGUGGUUCAGGAGUUUAGUAGUGUGGAGGGGCUAGGUGCUGUGGAGAAGGUAGAUGGAAAUUAAUGUUUUUCCCUUGCCUAAGGGUAGAAGUAAGCUCUGCUCAGCUUACCUCUUUCUCCUCUGCCCGUAACAGCUAUGAUUAAACAUUCAGAAGAUGGAUGGAGGAGGAGUGGCAAGGUUUGAAUUUAUAACCUGCCUGUUCUAGGAAGGUUGUACACAUAUCAGAGGUUAUCCCAGUUCUGUGAUGCAUCGUUGACCUGGAGGAGGGUGAAGGAGACUAGACUUUUCUCUGACAUCUUCCAUGGUAGUCAUUCUGAGCACAUUGGCUCUGCUAGUUGGUAUGGUGGAAGGGCACCAUACUAACAGAUUUGGAGACUGACUCCUAAUCCCAUCACCAACACUUAGCAGGUAUAUGAUCAUGGGCAAUUCAUUCAAUUGCCUGACAAUUAUAGACUAUAUAGGGGGAAGAGCACUGGAUUUGGAGUCAAGACACUUGACACUUGGCUCCAUACUUUCUUAGCUGGGAGACUAUGGGGCAAGUCACUCAGUCUCUCAAACCUAAGGUUCUUCAGUUAUACUAUAAUGGGAAUAACCUUCACUAACUACCUCACAGAGUUGUGGUGAGAAUAUAUCAGCUAUUGGGAUGAAAACACGAUACUGGAAAGGGCUAUACAAAAGUGGGAGAUCAUUUUUUAUUAUCGAUUCACUACUGUUUUCCACUGCCUCUUGAAUCUGUUUUCUUCUAAGCAACAACUACAUCUUUCACAUCUUUUUGAAUACGGGGAAUUGAAGCGUGGGUAUGAUGUCGGGGACUGGAGUUAUUUUAGUUUCAACAUAGAAGUCGGAGAAGUAGUAGAUAGGUGCUGUGGGUGUUAGACAUACCAGUGAAGUGUGCAUGUGGGGGGGUGGCGCAUUGUCCUGGGCCAUUUUGACAGCACCCUGGGAUAUGGUCAGGACCCUUGCAGAGAGCCUAAGGCUUGAGGUGUGAUUGGAGGCCUAGAAAAGAAGACUGUCGUUAGGGCCCCAGCAGCUGUGUAACAGGCUUGAGCCCUAAGAACAAAGGGGAGAAACUAUCACUUGUGAGGUCAGCUCUCCCAGGCAUCAGCUGCUUUGUUAUCACCAGCAACCUUAGCCCUGAUCAGUAUUAUUUUCUGCUAAGAUAUUGAAA